UACGUAGGUGGCGAGCGUUAUCCGGAUUUACUGGGCGUAAAGGAUGCGUAGGUGGUCUUUUAAGUGAGAUGUGAAAUCCCGGGGCUUAACUCCGGAACUGCAUUUCAAACUGUGAGACUAGAGUGCAGGAGAGGAAAGUGGAAUUCCUAGUGUAGCGGUGAAAUGCGUAGAUAUUAGGAGGAACACCAGUGGCGAAGGCGACUUACUGGACUGUAACUGACGCUGAGGCUCGAAAGCGUGGGGAGCAAAC
rnacentral:rRNA from 1 species